CAUCUGUGUACAUUAAUGUUAUAAGACUGGUUAAAUUAUCAAAAGGCAAAUUUUAUUUUAGAUGUUAUAAGCUUAUUACAUGAAUGGGAAAGACAUAAUCAUUUCUCAGAUGUCCAGAGAUUGUACUUAGAGGUUGCCCUUGGUUUCCAUGCUUUUACUGAGACGAAUGUGGAUAGAGAAAGGGCACAUGGUGAACUUUCGGUUUCAGAUUAUGAGCAUGUUCGACAUUAUCUGUUGAAACUGAGUAGUAACUGUAGAAAGAUUGUAUUUGCCUGGAUUGAAGAUGAUGCAAGGAAGCACACAGCCCCAGCCUAAUCAUAUAUGAUUGAGUUAGCAUA